CCUACGGGCGGCAGCAGUGAGGAAUAUUGGUCAAUGGGCAGGAGCCUGAACCAGCCAAGUCGCGUGAGGGAAGACUGCCCUAUGGGUUGUAAACCUCUUUUGUCAGGGAGCAACGCCGGCUACGUGUAGCCGGACUGAAAGUACCUGAAGAAAAAGAAUCGGCUAACUCCGUCCCAGCAGCCGCGGUAAUACGGGGGAUGCAAGCGUUAUCCGGAUUUAUUGGGUUUAAGGGUUGCGUGGCGGGACGGCCAAGUCAGCGGUAAAAUCCCGGGGCUCACGCUCGCUCCGCCGUUGACACUGGCGUUCUUGAGUGGGGGAGAAGUAUGCGGAAUGCGUGGUGUAGCGGUGAAAUGCAUAGAUAUCACGCAGAACACCGAUUGCGAAGGCAGCAUACCGGCGCCCGACUGACGCUGAAGCACGAAAGCGUGGGUAGCGAACAGGAUUAGAUACCCUGGUAGUC
rnacentral:rRNA from 1 species